GCUUGAGUCCUGGCUGCUCCGCUUCGGAUGCGGCCUGCUGGAGGGUUAGCAGAACAGAGAGCGAGUACCUGGGCCCUUGCCACCCGCAUAGGAGAUGAGAACGGACUUCCAGGCUCCUACAUUCAGCCGGUCCAGCACUGGUUGUUGCGGCCAUUUUGGGGGACUGGCACAAAGCUACGGCCACAGAGCAAGCAGGGACAAGACGGCUGCCUGUAAGCCAGGAAAAGAGCACUUCUCACCAGAAACGGAAUUUCCCUGUACCUUGACUGUGGACUCUGCCCUCCAAAACGGAGCUGACCACUGUGUCCUUCUCAGUGUUGCCUUAAUAAUCCUGUCACUGGUGUUCAACAAUUAAUGAAUGAAGGAAGCCCUGGGAUAUGUUUCAAAGUCUUCAUCACAGAGUUUGAAGCCAUCCUAUGUAAUUCCAUCAUCCUGAAUCAUAGCACAAAGAGAAACAAGCAAGUUAAUCAUGACACAGAAGCAACUUCGUGUCCAACCAUGUCCAGGAAUGGGCCAAUUCAGUGAACUGUGAGUUUUCUUCACUGAUUUGAGCAUCCAUAAAGGAGAUUUUGCAAUAGCAGCCCUUCCUCCACAAGCCAGGUGAAACCCUCAGAGGGAGUAGGCUGGUGUUUAAUAAUAAAAGAGAAGGGAGAGGGCUGAUAAUUAUUCUGUCUAAACAGUGUUUUUGCGGCCUCACAUUGAUUGUGUCUUGAAAUCUCCUUUGGGAAUGGGCAGCCAGCCUCUCCUCUGCUUUCAUGAACCUCAUGCAAAUUAUUGAAACAUUUUUGCAAUUAUUUCCCUGAAACUGAGUUUUGGCCCAAUGCCUAUGAACACUGAGGAAUGACAUCACAUUGCACCCAGAGGAGGCAGCUUCAAAAAAAAAAAUCCUCCAGGGAGCUGUCUGCUCCACUGUCUUGGAGGCCCAUUUCCAUAUCGCCACGUAAACACGUGAGUCUGCCG